UUCACAAUAUUCGACCUUAUUUUUUUCGCAGUUAGCAGCAACUUCCCGUCGCACGUCAGGAGGGGCAAUGCCAGCUAACUUGUAGAGUUUAUCAACAGGUGUUGGUUUAAGGCAUCAUGUGAUUAUUCUGCAUGUUUCGUUUAGUGCUAUGUCCACCUGCUUUGCACGGGCAGAUUUUUGCCAGACAGGACAGGCAUACUCAGCAGUUGAGAAAGACAAGGCCAGGGCUGAUGUUCUUAAUAAUUGUGGGUCUGCACCCCAUGCUCUGCCAGUAAGUUUCCGCAGGAUGUUAUUGCGUGCAGCUACUUUGUGCUUGGUGUUCAUGCAGUGUUUCCUAUAUGUUAGUGUUCGAUCUAAGGUGACACCAAGAUAUUUAGGAUGGAAGCAGUGAUCGAGCUCUUGGCCUUCCCAAGUAACUUUCAGUUUCCUGUUGGCUUCACUGUUACAUAGUUGGAAAACACACACUUGUGUCUUGGCAGGGUUAGGCUUCAGGUGGUUCUUUUUGUAGUGGCUGGAGAGAUCUUUCAAGGCAUUAGUGAGUUGGUUUUCAACUGUUUCAAAAAUAUAUUCAAGGAAAAUAUUCAUAACCUGUUAGGAUUAUGAUUCAGGAUAUCAAGCAUAACAUUUAUAUUUAUCCAGUGUCUAGUCAAAAGCACAGUGGAACAUUCAUGUUUUUUAUUCUUUACAGAAGGUGGACAGGGUGGGUACCUUUUCGGCGCAAAUCAGGAACUCUGAAGAAUAUUGUUGCCCGAUUCAUAAAAUCUCAGUUUCUACAGACUUUGAACAUAUUUUUUAAAGAUAGAGUCACAUGGAGAACAGAUGGAAAUAAGUUUGCAUCAUAUUAGGGACUCUGUGGGACUUUAAACUGUUUUUAAAUUGUGUAGAAAUUGGGGGAGGGGGAAUCCUGCGUCUGAUGAGGUACUUAAAUGGUCAGUAGAGAUAGGGCUCAAGUGCCACAAUAACAACAAGAAAAGCCAUGGAAAUCAGGGCAGGGUAGAUAUUUGUUUGUUCCUGACAUACACCUAAAGCAGCUGGAUCUACACAUCUUCACUCAGCUCUCAAUGAUAUCAGAAAAGGAGAGAGAAGUUUUGGUCUUAUUGUUUUGAAGAUUCUCAACUACAAUUUGUAAUAUCACUUCUUAGGCCAGAGUAAAAUCUGCAUGGUAUCUGGCAGCUCAAGAAUUUCCAGUGGCAUAUUCAUGGAUAGUAUGUUGGGAACUUCUCUGACAUCUAUAUGAAAUUAAUAAAUGCUUUUCUUUCAGGGCGGGAGAGCACGAGUAGUUCAUCUGAUAUUACUUUAGAUUCUCAUCUUCGAUAAUGAAGAGGUGGAGAAUAUUUCUUCUCCUCCUGUUUUCACACUUCUACAUUUCUUAGCGCACCACGCUUGGAAAGACUGUAAAAAUGUUAUAUUUCAGUAACGCAAUAAUUGAAAAUCUAGCUUUUUGAACAUCAGUCUCAAGUUAAUCUUACUAAAGGGAGGGAAUAUGAAAAGUAACAUUAUGCGGGUGGAACUUCCAUACCAUAUGGUGCAGAUAAGCACAGAUUCCAUUCUUAGCAUGAUCUCUUUUGGUACCAUUUCUGUAGGAUGAAGGUGCCAACAAUCUGGCCUUGCCUGAUAACAGCAAAUUUCCUUCUUACUUACAGUGGAGCCUAGAAAGCCCUGGUGGGACUGGGAUUUGCAUAAUAUAUACUGCAGCAUUUUGCAUGGUGAUAAUGUUAUUAUAAGUAUCCUGUAUGUAUUUAAUAAGGGGUAGAAUGCAAAUUGUGCAGUCAGGAAUAUAUAUAUAUAUAUAUAUAUAUAUAUAUAUAUAUAUAUAUGGCUAAAAAUUGCUCCAUACAUUACAGUUUUUUGUUUGGUUGCUCUUACACAUACAUGUGCAUAUGACAAAUAAGGGUAUUCAGUUCCUUUUGUUGUACAGUUACUGUACAUAAAUGAGGUAGAUGUCCUGUGUGAUGUUUUGGUAAGCUUAAUAAAGAUGUUAGUAUGAUAUGCACACUACAGUGUUUCUCAUUUCCACCCUAGCCAAUUAAAGCAAAGACUUUCUGUAUAUAUUUCAGAUUUCAAGAUUAAUGUCAAAAAUAUGUAGUAUGAUUUUACAUAGGAUUUGUGCUACAUUAGAAAAGUAAAGACAAAUAUCACUUAAGUAAAAUAACAUUAAAUAACAAAAAAUAAGGUGUAAACACUAAACUAAUCACAUCUAAUGAAGUGGUUUAAAACCAGUAUUAAAAAAGAUUAGGACUAAGUUCGUUCCAGUCUACUUGGAAUACACGAAGCUCAUUCCGAAGAGCCUUGAUUCCCAGUGUGACCAUCAUCUCACUUUCUUUGCUAGUUAACUUGUAUCCAGUAUGCUUUAUUAUUCUAAUUGUUUGCCUUAGAUAGUUGAGCAAAUCGUUUCCAUGGUUGCCUCUCGCUAGUAUCGGGGCGAAAACUGGAGGUUUGUUGACGAUUCCAUGUAAGAUUUGAGUUCGUAUGCAAUCUUUAGAUUUUAGUUCAAGAAUGGACAGCUGUGAUCUCCUGAUGUUUUUGGUCAGCAUAUCUCAUGAUCCUAAUGGAGCAGCUCUUGAAUAUUUCAUUUAAAGACCCUAAAAAUCCCUUACCUAGAUGACCCUUACUCAAAAAUCUUGUUUUUCCAUGAAAGUGUUGACAGGACAUGUUCUGCCUGACAUUUGCUCUUUGCUCACAAUAUAAGGUCAUGCAAACAACAGUAACGAUUUGGCUGCUGGAUGAUGCAUAUGUGGGAUGAACUAUGAACAUGUCACUUGAGGAUAGUGCAUACGUGGAGCAAACUAUGGACACUUCACCCGAUGUGAUGAGUAAUGAGUUAUAUAAGUUACAAGGCAACUACGCAUGUUCAAAAGGAUUAUAAUAGUCAGCAAAUUCCAUUGUCAGCUUUCUGUGCAUGCUUCUGUAAAAUUGUAUAAAUUGGAAAGCCACUACAGGCAAAGGGUGGCAUUGUGUUUUCUGGGCAUUAACUAACAUUGUCACCUGCUCUUGGCCAAAAGUAAACUAUCUUGAAGACAACUUCUGCUGUCAGUCUGCUUUCUUCACCUGCGUCCAAAUGAAAUUCCACAACAAUCCUUCAUAUUUGGCCAUGCUGGAUAGGACUGAAGGCUGAAAAAUAUCUGGAGGCCACAUUAAUCCAGCUUUGCUUCACGCAGUAAUAAUACCUAAUUUAAAACAGGGGUGUGCACAAUACUGUUUUGUGAUACUGUUUUUGGGGGAUUCGGGCGACCCGGCAGCUGACCCCCAGGAAACGGGAAGGGCAGAAGAGGGGCAGCCAAAGGCUCGGCAAUAACGGGGCAUGUGGUAAUUUAUUGCUAGUAUUGUGCUAUGCUAAUAAUAUAAUAUUGUAUGUAAGUUUAAUUUGUAAGCCACUCUGAGUCCCCUUCAGGGUGAGAAGGGCGGGAUAUAAAUGUAUUAAAUAAGUAAAUAAAUAAAUGUGGGCGGCUUAUCUUCAACUGCAUCCAGCUGCCAUGUGAGUAGAGCAGCCAUGCACAUGGGUUUUUCCCUAUUAGCUUUGCCAGAGCUAAUCAGAAGAAGAAAGCAAAUACGUGUCUUUUUGCAGAGGUGAUCUAUAUAUACCAGGCUGAGCUCCGCCAUUUUUCUGUGUUGCCCUGGUAUUUGUGAGAGAGAGGUUGUGUGCUAGCUAGCUCCGUGUUCUACAUCCCAGUGCUAUUGCUGCUUCUAGUGCUUAGGGAUUGUUUUUUUGAGAAUUCCAGCCUUUUUCUUCUGCAUUAAAUUUUCUUAGUUAUUAUCUUUCUUAUACUCCUUCUGUUAUUUUGCUAGUAAUUUAUCUAGGAAGGAGUGGACAGGUGUGCGCUUGGGGGAAUGUGAGUUUUAAAUGGGCUUUUUUGUGUGUUUGUUUAAAUAUUUUUACCUCUUUUGCUUUAACUUGAGUGUGGGAUAGUUUUAAUGCAUAAUAUGACUUCCUUGAAUCCUCAUGGGGGAAUUCCCCAGCCCUAACUUCUGGCUCCUGUACUCUGUUCUACACCAGCAGCCUAAGUCCCUCCUAAGCCUCCUAAGCAGCCUAAGUCCUCUCCGUCUCUGCUAUUUCCUCCCCAUUCCCAAUUUUUGGCUUGUGUGUGUGUACUCCUGCACCAUUCCAGCAUCCUUCCUCCCCCACUCCCAAAUAUUUUAAAAUUACAACCAAAAAAAAAAAGGAUUUUCUUCUAUUUUAUUCACUUCUUCUACUCUCUCUUAUUUGUCUUCUGGCUUCUGUGUGUGUACUGUGCAAAGCCUUAAGCCUGGGCCUUUCUUUCCUCAAAAAUAUUUUUAAAAUACCAACACCACCCCUUUAUUACUCCCUUCUUCUGCCUUAUGCUUGCAAAAGUAUUGCAGUGCACACACACAAACACAUAUAAUAAAUAUAGGAAUGAAUAUAUAUAUAAUUGUUUUAUUUAGGAAACUUUUAAAAAAUCAUAAAAAUCAGUAGAUGAGUGGAAAUUCCAGGGAAUAUCUCUUUUGGGUUUUUAAAAGGGCAUUUUAGUUAUAGAAAUUUUAAAAUUUUUCUAAAAAUCAGUGGAUGAGCCAAACAUUCUGAAGCUUGGUAUCAUAAAUACGCUGUCCAAGUAUGGUAAUUUUCAUUCUAAUUUAAAGCUGAGUGAUUUGAAUAAAACUAUUCAGAAAAUAUUAUCAUUGGUCUGGUCCAACACAUGGUUAUAAAAAUAAACAUAAAACUAUUUGAACUAGGGUUCAGGAAAUGUUUGAGGGAUUAUUAGGGGGAGUACUAAUACAGUAGAGUCUCACUUAUUCAAGCCUCACUUAUCCAAGUUUCUGGAUUAUCCAAGCCAUUUUUGUAGUCAAUGUUUUCAAUAUAUUGUGAUAUUUUGGUGCUAAAUUCGUAAAUACAGUAAUUACAACAUAACAUUACUGCGUAUUGAACUACUUUUUCUGUCAAAUGUGUUGUAUAACAUGAUGUUUUGGUGCUUAAUUUGUAAAAAUCAUAACCUAAUUUGAUGUUUAAUAGGCUUUUCCUUAAUCCCUUCUUAUUAUCCAAGAUAUUCACUUAUCCAAGCUUCUGCUGGCCCAUUUAGCUUGGAUAAGUGAGACUCUACUGUAUUACGAUUUGACAAAUAGUAGGAUCAAGCAAUACAUAGAAAUGUAUUUAUUAGCAUAUUGUAGAGAGUGUCGCACCUCAGGCUAGUUUCACCUUGCUUUAUACACCAGGCUGCGCACAGGUUGAAGUCUUUUGUAGUUUAUUAGGAAACAGGAAAUAAACAGUUCUUAAAAGCAAAAGUACAGGUCCAAAAGAUUGUUGCAAAACAAGGCUUCAAAGAAUAACCCAAGAAAUCAUAAGGCAUAAAACAAGGUCCCAUUAGAGCAUCACAAAGUUCCAUGAACAUGAACACACAAAGGUUGCAAGAUAAUCCAGGAAGACGAGAGCCUGCUUCUUUACUUGAGCAAGAAGUUGCUUUGACAAAAGUUUGUCUCCCAACACACAGUUUUAAUAACCUUUGCAUAGCAUGAAAGGAUUUCUUUGGCCUCUGACCUCCUUCUUGUUUGCUAUUCUAACACUCUUGCGAACCCUGAAUUCCAAACGGCCAGCUCAAUCUAAAGAUUCAGUUUAAUCAAGGCCAGCCAGCUUGUUAGCGUCUGUCUGCAUGCUAUCAGACUGAGAACUAUCCUCCCUUCCUAAGGCAAUUUGCACCUGGCUAGUUUCAGUAUCAUCAACACCAUUCCCUGCUGUGGGAAAGCUUCCCUGUUCCCCAUCUUC
rnacentral:lncRNA from 1 species